GAUGAACGCUGGCGGCGUGCCUAAUACAUGCAAGUCGAGCGAACAGACGAGGAGCUUGCUCCUCUGACGUUAGCGGCGGACGGGUGAGUAACACGUGGAUAACCUACCUAUAAGACUGGGAUAACUUCGGGAAACCGGAGCUAAUACCGGAUAAUAUAUUGAACCGCAUGGUUCAAUAGUGAAAGACGGUUUUGCUGUCACUUAUAGAUGGAUCCGCGCCGCAUUGGCUAGUUGGUAGGGGAGCGGCUUACCCGGGCAACGACGCGUAGCCCACCUGCGGGGGUGAUGGGCCGCGCUGGAGCUGAGACGCGGGCCAGAGUCCUACGGGAGGCAGCAGUAGGGAAUCUUCCGCAAUGGGCGAAAGCCUGACGGAGCAACGCCGCGUGAGUGAUGAAGGUCUUCGGAUCGUAAAACUCUGUUAUUAGGGAAGAACAAAUGUGUAAGUAACUAUGCACGUCUUGACGGUACCUAAUCAGAAAGCCACGGCUAACUACGUG
rnacentral:rRNA from 1 species